AUACCUUUCUCGGCCUUUUGGCUAAGAUCAAGUGUAGUAUCUGUUCUUAUCAGUUUAAUAUCUGAUACGUGGGCCAUCGGCCCACAUGAUAUUAAAUUAAUUUUUAACGGGGAGGAGCCCGUAUACAGCAGCUUGCUGCUGGGGCUCUCGAGCGUCGCCAAAGUCUUGCACUAUUGCUUGGGCCUGGCGCGCCCUUA